UGGACGCCGCGGGACCGAGCGCAUCUGUAGGAGCAGAGCCAGAGGGGAGCGGGUGGGCCUGUCGGAGCGUUAGGACUUGAGCUUGGGCCUUUUGAACCCAGGAUCUCGAAAUGCAUCGUGAUUCCUGUCCCUUGGAUUGUAAAGUUUAUGUUGGUAAUCUUGGAAAUAAUGGAAACAAGACUGAAUUAGAACGGGCUUUUGGCUAUUAUGGACCACUCCGAAGUGUGUGGGUUGCUCGAAACCCUCCUGGCUUUGCUUUCUUCGAAUUUGAGGAUCCCCGAGAUGCUGCUGAUGCUGUCCGGGAGCUAGAUGGAAGAACACUGUGUGGCUGCCGAGUAAGAGUGGAACUGUCGAAUGGUGAAAAGAGAAGUCGGAAUCGUGGCCCACCUCCCUCUUGGGGUCGUCGUCCUCGAGAUGAUUACCGCAGGAGGAGUCCUCCAACUCGGCGCAGAUCCCCAAGAAGGAGAAGCUUUUCCCGAAGCCGGAGCAGGUCACUUUCUAGAGAUAGGAGAAGAGAAAGGUCUCUGUCUCGUGAGAGAAAUCACAAGCCGUCUCGAUCCUUCUCUAGGUCUCGUAGCCGAUCUAGGUCAAAUGAAAGGAAAUAGAAGACCAGUUUGCAAAAGUGGUGUACAGGAAAUAACUUCAUCUGACAGGAGUAUGUACAGGAAAUUAAAGUUUUGUUUGAGACUUCAUAAGCUUGGUGCAUUUUUAAGAUGUUUUAGCUGUUCAAAUUUGUUUUGUCUCUUGGAACAGUGACACACAAAACAAUGUAAUUCUCUAUGGUUUCAGAUGGACCAUAUGAGGCAUGUGAUAGCAAGAAUUGUUACUUUACAAUGUCCCCUUAAGCAAGAUUGAAUUUUCUUUGAAUUUUAGUUUUUCAUAGACUGAAAUAAACCUAGAUCCUGCCUAGUUUUAAGUGUGACGUACUAAUGAUAUAAAGCAACUGGCGGAAAUUGAAUGAAGCUGUAGUCCUCUAGUAGCUGAGACACUGGCACUGUGGGUGGGAUGAUAAAGCAGUGUUUAAGAGCUGCUGUGAGCACAAGCCAACAGAUAGAGGGUAGGAACCACACUCUGAAGGUUUGCAAAGCGGUUCCUCCCUGGUUUCUAUACCGGGAUGCAGAGCUAUUGUAACGUCUUUAUUUGGAAAUGUAAAACUAAGAUACCAGUGUCCUUUCAGUUUAAGGGUACAUUGUAGAGCUGAACUUUUCAGUUACUGUGCAAGAUUUUUUUUCAUGCUGUCAUUUGUAAUAUGUUUGUGAGAAUCCUUGGGAUUAAAGUUUUGGUUACAAAUUGUUGUU